GACAGAGGUGGCAAGCGUUGUUCGGAAUUACUGGGCUUAAAGGGCGCGUAGGUGUCCCGACAAGUCAGAUGUGGAAGCUUCCGGCUUAACCGGAAAAUUGCAUCUGAAACUGUCGGGAUUGAGUCAGCAAGGGGAUGGCGGAAUUCCAGGUGUAGCGGUGAAAUGCGUAGAUAUCUGGAGGAAGGCCGGUGGCGAAGGCGGCCAUCUGGUGCUGAACUGACACUGAGGCGCGAAAGCGUGGGGAGCAAAC
rnacentral:rRNA from 1 species